AUACGGAGGGUGCAAGCGUUAUCCGGAAUCAUAGGGUUUAAAGGGUCCGUAGGCGGAUAAUUAAGUCAGGGGUGAAAUCCCACAGCUCAACUGUGGCACUGCCUUUGAUACUGGUUAUCUUGAGUUAUAGGGAAGUAGAUAGAAUAUGUAGUGUAGCAGUGAAAUGCAUAGAUAUUACAUAGAAUACCGAUUGCGAAGGCAGUCUACUAUCUGUAUACUGACGCUAAGGGACGAAAGCGUGGGGAGCGAACAGGAUUAGAAACCCUAGUAGUCC
rnacentral:rRNA from 1 species